UACGUAGGGUGCGAGCGUUGUCCGGAAUUACUGGGCGUAAAGAGCUCGUAGGCGGCUUGUCGCGUUGUUCGUGAAAAUUUACCGCUCAACGGUGAACUUGCGGGCGAUACGGGCAGGCUAGAGAACUGCAGGGGAGACUGGAAUUCCUGGUGUAGCGGUGAAAUGCGCAGAUAUCAGGAGGAACACCGGUGGCGAAGGCGGGUCUCUGGGCAGUAACUGACGCUGAGGAGCGAAAGCGUGGGGAGCGAACAGG
rnacentral:rRNA from 1 species